rnacentral:rRNA from 1 species
CCUACGGGAGGCAGCAGUGGGGAAUAUUGCGCAAUGGGCGAAAGCCUGACGCAGCGACGCCGCGUGAGGGAUGAAGGUCUUCGGAUCGUAAACCUCUGUCAGCAGGGAAGAACGGUCACUGUGCUAAUCAGCAGUGAAUUGACGGUACCUGGAAAGGAAGCACCGGCUAACUCCGUGCCAGCAGCCGCGGUAAUACGGAGGGUGCGAGCGUUAAUCGGAAUUACUGGGCGUAAAGCGCUCGUAGGCGGUAUGUCAAGUCAAGGGUGAAAUCCCCGCGCUCAACGGGGGAACUGCCUUUGAAACUGGGAAACUGGAGUGUGUGAGAGGAUAGUGGAAUUCCAGGUGUAGGAGUGAAAUGCGUAGAUAUCUGGAGGAACAUCAGUGGCGAAGGCGACUAUCUGGCACAUAACUGACGCUGAGGAGCGAAAGCGUGGGGAGCAAACAGGAUUAGAUACCCGGGUAGUC